CACGUAGGGUGCGAGCGUUGUCCGGAAUUAUUGGGCGUAAAGAGCUCGUAGGCGGUGUGUCGCGUCGGCCGUGAAAACCUGCAGCUUAACUGUGGGCGUGCGGUCGAUACGGGCAUCACUGGAGUUCGGCAGGGGAGACUGGAAUUCCUGGUGUAGCGGUGAAAUGCGCAGAUAUCAGGAAGAACACCCGUGGCGAAGGCGGCUCUCUGGGACGGUACUGACGCUGAGACGCGAAAGCGUGGGGAGCGAACAGG
rnacentral:rRNA from 1 species